UACGUAGGGUGCGAGCGUUAAUCGGAAUUACUGGGCGUAAAGGGUGCGCAGGCGGCGUCGCAAGUCAGGCGUGAAAUCCCCGGGCUUAACCUGGGAAUGGCACUUGAAACUACGAUGCUGGAGUAUGGCAGAGGGAGGUGGAAUUCCACGUGUAGCGGUGAAAUGCGUAGAGAUGUGGAGGAACACCGAUGGCGAAGGCAGCCUCCUGGGCCAAUAACUGACGCUCAUGCACGAAAGCGUGGGGAGCAAACAGG
rnacentral:rRNA from 1 species